CUCGGACUCGGCGAUGGAUCCCGCCUGGGCCGUUCUCCGGCCCGAACCGCCCUCCUCCGGGCUGAUGGUUCCUGACCGACG
rnacentral:ncRNA from 2 species